rnacentral:rRNA from 1 species
GAUGAACGCUAGCGGCAGGCCUAACACAUGCAAGUCGAGGGGUAGAACACUUCGGUGUUUGAGACCGGCGCACGGGUGCGUAACGCGUAUGCAAUCUACCUUGUACAGGGGAAUAGCCCAGAGAAAUUUGGAUUAAUGCCCCAUAGUAUAUAACCUUCGCACGUUGGUUAUAUUAAAGUUCCAACGGUACAAGAUGAGCAUGCGUCCCAUUAGUUAGUUGGUAAGGUAACGGCUUACCAAGACGAUGAUGGGUAGGGGUCCUGAGAGGGGGAUCCCCCACACUGGAACUGAGACACGGACCAGACUCCUACGGGAGGCAGCAGUGAGGAAUAUUGGUCAAUGGGCGCAAGCCUGAACCAGCCAUGCCGCGUGCAGGAAGACGGUCCUAUGGAUUGUAAACUGCUUUUAUACAGGAAGAAACAACUCUACGUGUAGAGUCUUGACGGUACUGUAGGAAUAAGGAUCGGCUAACUCCGUGCCAGCCGCCGCAGUAACAC